rnacentral:rRNA from 1 species
AGACCAGUACGCUGUGCGGUAGUGCCAGAGUAGCGGGGGUUGGAUAUCCCUCGCGAAUAACGCAGGCAUCGACUGCGAAGGCUAAACACAACCUGAGACCGAUAGUGAACAAGUAGUGUGAACGAACGCUGCAAAGUACCCUCAGAAGGGAGGCGAAAUAGAGCAUGAAAUCAGUUGGCGAUCGAGCGACAGGGCAUACAAGGUCCUGUAACGAAUGACCGAGACGCGAGUCUCCAGUAAGACUUACAGGAAGCCGAUGUUCUGUCGUACGUUUUGAAAAACGAGCCAGGGAGUGUGUCUGUAUGGCAAGUCUAACCGGAGUAUCCGGGGAGGCACAGGGAAACCGACAUGGCCGCAGUCUUACGACGAGGGCCGCCGUCUUCAAGGGCGGGGAGCCAUGUGGACACGACCCGAAUCCGGACGAUCUACGCAUGGACAAGAUGAAGCGUGCCGAAAGGCACGUGGAAGUCUGUUAGAGUUGGUGUCCUACAAUACCCUCUCGUGAUCUAUGUGUAGGGGUGAAAGGCCCAUCGAGUCCGGCAACAGCUGGUUCCAAUCGAAACAUGUCGAAGCAUGACCUCCGCCGAGGUAGUCUGUGAGGUAGAGCGACCGAUUGGUGUGUCCGCCUCCGAGAGGAGUCGGCACACCUGUCAAACUCCAAACUUACAGACGCUGUUUGACGCGGGGAUUCCGGUGCGCGGGGUAAGCCUGUGUACCAGGAGGGGAACAACCCAGAGAUAGGUUAAGGUCCCCAAGUGUGGAUUAAGUGUAAUCCUCUGAAGGUGGUCUCGAGCCCUAGACAGCCGGGAGGUGAGCUUAGAAGCAGCUACCCUCUAAGAAAAGCGUAACAGCUUACCGGCCGAGGUUUGAGGCGCCCAAAAUGAUCGGGACUCAAAUCCACCACCGAGACCUGUCCGUACCACUUAUACUGGUAAUCGAGUAGAUUGGCGCUCUCAUUGGGUGGAAGCAGGG